AAUGACUUUUAUUUUUUCCAUGAUAGCUGGUUUAGAGUGUUCUGUCAAUUUUCUACUGUACAGCAAAGUGAACCAGUCACACAUACCUACAUACAUUUCUUCAAGUCUUUUUCUCACAUUACCCUCUAUCAGCUCCAUCAUAAGUGACUAGAUAUCGUUCCCAGUGCUAUACAGCAGGAUCUCACUGCUUAUCAGUUCCAAAGGCAAGAAUAUUUCACCUAAUACUUUAUGAAGAGCCCAAGGAUAAAGGACACGCUUUUAUUUAUGUGCUACUGUAAAGAAAUCAAAAGCAAUAAAAAGGGGAUGGAAGAGAGUUCCUGUUUAGUGGGUAGGAUCUCAGUGUGAGAAGAGGAAAAAGUCGUGGAACUGCAGAGUGGUGAUGGCUGCACAACAAUACGAACGUGCUUCAUUCCACUGAACUGCACGCCCAAGAAUGGCAAAAACUGUAAAUCUGAGGUAUGUAUAUUUUAUCACGAUAACAGCAGGUAAUAAACCAUUUUUUAAAAAUCACACUAAAACUCUUUGUUGUUUGCAAAGUAAAUAACUGCAAGAUGCCAUCUCCUACCGCUCUUCAUUAUCUACGUAAAGUAGGCUGCUCUGCUAUUUAAAGGUGACCCUCGCUUUCAGUAAAAUCUGAAGUAAAAAGAAAAAAACUAAAUCUCAUUUUCCAUUUGAACAACUAGAUUCACGUGGUAAUGAUCAUCAAGCAAGCCCUGUAAAGUCAGAUGAAGUCUGAGAGAGCAAUGGAGACUGCUUCAUCUUACUAAAGUACUCACGGCAUUGACAUGACCUGAGUACAGCUCACUAAUAGGACCUAUCUGUUCAUGUGGGGGGAUCCAUGCAAAACAAGGGGGUGGGGGAGCAAUAAAGGGCCGAAUUCUAAAGCCUUAUGAUUCAACAUUAGUAUUUUUGGAGACUUCUUCCAAAACGCUUUGGUGGUAAGCUCCAGGGGCACAGGAUUGGUUGCACUCUGCUUUGUUCAGAAUUUACCAAAUAACAAAAGAGAUAAGCUUCAAGGAUCUACUGCACAGCACAGGGAAUAUAGCCAAUAUUUUAUAAUAAUUAUAAAGGGAGUAUAACUGUUAAAAAUCAUACAUCACUAUGUUGUACACCUGAAGCUUAUGGAAUAUUGUAAAUCAAUGGAACUUAACAAUAUUUAAACACUUUAGUAAGUAAAAGCAAUUAGCAAGUAACAGAAACGAGAGAAGGAAGGAAGGGGGGAGGGGGGCGGAGAAGGAAAACUAAUAGCUUUAUAAACACAACCAAACAGGUAUCCAGAAAACUUGGGAUCUGUCAAAUCUAAACUGGCAGUUUACCAAGUAGACUUGAUUAUAAAAAGCUUUUUCCCCACUAGAGCCAUGCUCAGCAGAUAUGGCAGCACCAUUAAUAACAUCUUACCAAUCUGUCAUCUGUUUGAAAGAAAUAAUGGGAAUUUAGACCAUUUUAGUAAAGGUCAUCACAGGCAAUUAAUCCGCAAACCCUGUGCUUGGGGAUCCUGCUUGCUAACCUUUAGGAUUUCCCCUAUAAGAUCCUUGUCUAGGUAGCGAAUGUAAUUUCAAACCUAUUGAACAAGAUUCCCAUUAUUGUCACCAGUAAUUAUUACCCUGAGCCCAGUCGUCUCAUUUGUAGUAUAUACGUCAGAAUAAGGUCACUAAAAAUGCUUUAUCUGUCUUUAAGAUGUAUAGAGGGUUUUUUUUUUCCCCCCCUUUUCCAACCUCUCUUGUUUUUCGGUUGUUAGAAAUAGUACUACGGUUAGAGUCACAGGAACGCAAAGGCAUGCUAUUAUUUGGUCAAAAGCUCCCAUCCUAUAUUCCCUUCACCUGAGCCUAAGGAAAGUAAUCACAAGAGGCCAUUAUUAGUCAUUUGAAUGCUAUAACUUUUAAUUUCCAGAGGUCAAUUACUUUAUAUCUUCCUCUGGGAGGUUUCCAGAUUAAGAUUUAAUUAAUCUUAUUCCUUUGACCAAAAGACGAAGCUCUUUUAGACCUAGAAAAAGAAGGUUUCUUAGUCUUCUCUGGUAAGGAGAAAACCUAUCUCCUGAAUCCAUCAGAGUCUUUCGAAAAGGAGAAUCCUGAAAGUGGAUUUUGACUGUUUCAAUUCUUAGAAACACAAAUAAAUAAAAGCCGUGAGUCUGAAGCUUAGAAAAGGAGACUUACCAGGUCACAUAUAAAAACCUAUAGCUGGAGUUCCUAUCGUGGCCCAGUGGAAACGAAUCUGACUAGGAUCCCUGAGGAUGCGGGUUCCACCCCUGGCCUCACUCAGUGGGUCAGGGAUCCAGAGUUGCCAUGAGCUGUGGCGUAUGUCACAGACAGGGCUUGGAUCCCGCGUGGCUGUGGCUGUGGCUGUGGCUCCAAGUUGACCCCUAGCCUGGGAACACCCAUAUGCAGCAAGUGCAGCCCUAAAAAGCAAAAAAA
ensembl:lncRNA